rnacentral:pre_miRNA from 1 species
GUGGUGAGGUAUGCUGCAUGAAACACCUCUCUCAUGAUGUUAGGCUGAUGCAAAAGUAAUCACCGUUUUUGCCAUUAAAAAUAAUAGCAAAAACGGUGAUUCUUUUGCACCAACCUAUACGUUAUUGUAACAAAGUUGUAAAAUGUACCCACAGUUUACUUUUCUAC